rnacentral:rRNA from 1 species
GACGAACGCUGGCGGCGUGCCUAAUACACGCAAGUCGAGCGAAUUUACGAGAGCUUGCUCUCGUAAAUUAGCGGCGGACGGGUGAGUAACACGUGGGCAACCUGCCUAUAAGACUGGGAUAACUUCGGGAAACCGGAGCUAAUACCGGAUAAUUCACAUCUACUCAUGUAGAUGUGCUGAAAGACGGUUUACGCUGUCACUUAUAGAUGGGCCCGCGGCGCAUAGCUAGUUGGUGAGGUAACGGCUCACCAAGGCCACGAUGCGUAGCCGACCUGAGAGGGUGAUCGGCCACACUGGGACUGAGACACGGCCCAGACUCCUACGGGAGGCAGCAGUAGGGAAUCUUCCGCAAUGGACGAAAGUCUGACGGAGC